GACGAACGCUGGCGGCGUGCUUAACACAUGCAAGUCGAACGGAAAGGCCCUGCUUUUGUGGGGUGCUCGAGUGGCGAACGGGUGAGUAACACGUGAGUAACCUGCCCUUGACUUUGGGAUAACUUCAGGAAACUGGGGCUAAUACCGGAUAGGAGCUCCUGCUGCAUGGUGGGGGUUGGAAAGUUUCGGCGGUUGGGGAUGGACUCGCGGCUUAUCAGCUUGUUGGUGGGGUAGUGGCUUACCAAGGCUUUGACGGGUAGCCGGCCUGAGAGGGUGACCGGCCACAUGGGGACUGAGAUACGGCCCAGACUCCUACGGGAGGCAGCAGUGGGGAAUAUUGCACAAUGGGCGGAAGCCUGAUGCAGCAACGCCGCGUGCGGGAUGAUGGCCUUCGGGUUGUAAACCGCUUUCGCCUGUGACGAAGCGUGAGUGACGGUAAUGGGUAAAGAAGCACCGGCUAACUACGUG
rnacentral:rRNA from 1 species